ACUCGUUCACGUCUCCCUACUUUGUGGUGCGCGACGUGUGCUGGGGUGACAACUAUAUUACAACCAAGUGGUGAACCUCCAAUACAAUUAUUAUUUUAAGCCUUAAUCUAUAAUUUACUUAUAAACAUUCGUUUCUAAACAGGAAUGGAAGAGUCAUAUUUCCUGGGACAAGUCUUUUUCGACCGAUUCUAUAGUCUUGCUUUUUUACCAGACAAGAAUUAGAUGUUCCGGACCAACAGCACUUAACCAAGCCCUCCCCGGUUCCAGAUAACCGUUGCCAAGGAGUUGUCUCUGAUCAAGGCGUCACAGUGGCAGACCACAUGCUCGGUAGUUUCAAAUGCCUCGUCAGAAAACCUACCCGUCAGUUCUCCUACAAGCCCAACGUUACGCAGGUGAUAGGACACCAGUGAUCUCCCUAAUCUGGCAUGUAUGUAUUAGAAUUAGAAGGGUCAGAUUUGCCAAGGACCCCUUUAACAAAAAACCUGAAUUGUUUUAGAUCGAAAGAAGGAAGGAAAACAGUCCUCCUAUGUUACAUCGACUGGAAAAGAAACAAUUUCGUAUAAGUGCUGUAAAUUCCAAAACGAUCGGAAUUUUGUACAGCUUUCAAGCCAUUUUUUGGAAAUUUAUUUUAGCCUGUAGAAUUCAAAAUGACCAUCAUUUUUACAAUUCAGUUCUUACAAAUAAGAGUCGAAAUGCCGCAGGGUUGCCACCAAGGUUGCCAAAAUCUCAAAGAGCUCAAAAGUUUCGUCACGUUUUGCGAAAAGUCGAGUUACGAAAAUACGGGAUUUGGUUGGUUAAGAGGGCAAAAUUUUCACGAGAGUUACGUUUCGAAAAAGGGAGGUCGUUUUGUAUGCAGAAAGAGAGCUUAAUUGCGUGGAAGAGAGUAUCGAAUGGCUGAUAUAAUAUUCACCGCGAAUAUUGCUAUGAGUAAUCAUUUUAAUACGUGAGGCAACUUUUUGAUUUUGAAUGUUUGGGGUCCAAGAUGCAAAACAUUCCAUUGCGCCAGAUUUGUAGAUGCAAGUUACAUAAUAAACUAAUUUAUUAAUCGAAACUGUGCAUCCAAUUUGAUAUAUAAAGUGCCAAAAACAUUACGAACCAAAACGGCUACCGGUAAAAAGGUUUAAUAAAAUUAAUUCAAGCAUUUGUUUGCCGUUACAAGGGUACAUUUUUGACAUUAAUACAUUACAGAACAUCUGUAAUUUAUUACUGUGAAUAAAUCAAAUUUCAACUAAUUGAAUCAAAUUAUAAGCCUAAAGCACGGUGUAUUCGUGAAUCAAAUUGCGUCAAUCAUCUUCAACUGGUAAUACACGAGGUCCAUUUUUAUUGCCUAAGACGUUCCACUAUCCAAUUUUCCAAAUUGCUGUUGCUUUCCUCCUUUCCAAAAGAGAAAUCCACCUGACAUCAGUGGGGGAAAAUUUCAACGCAUCGAGAAAAGUAAGUUAUUUUAAUUUUUUUGUAUUAUAUAGGAGUCGGCCGUCUUUUGGGGUUGCGUUUAAAAAGUCAUUUCUUUUAAUUGCCGAUGAUGUCGCAUUUAUUCAUUAUCCCGUGAAAAAAUUGGUGCAAUUUUUACGCGAUUAGUUUCAGAUGCGCCACGCUGUAUAUAAAGAUUGCGUUAAUAUGCAAGUGGAUAGGUGGCCCGGAUCUGUUUCUGUUUAUCUAUAUCGCAGUCAUGAUUUUGUGUAUUCCUAAAAGCAAGUCAUUUGCGAAUGAACCGCGGUAGGUGCGGUUGUAUGUAUGUGCUCCGUUGCGUGUUUAUAUUUCACGUGGAAAGGGUAAGUUUUUCUUACUCUUACCAAAAAUUGGGUGAUGGACAUGGGGAAGCUUUUAUUUAUUUUUUCCCAAAUAAAUCAAUCCACCUUAGUUCUGAAUAGGAGAGUGUAAUUUGGUCCAAAAUGGCUAAUCCCUAAAAGUUUACCAUGUGAAAUAUACCUAGGUUCGAUGGAAACCCUCUACUAGCUUAGCCACUUCCAAUGAAGAAGAUGACCGUUAUUAGCCGAGUUCUAAUUGAGCAACAAGAUUAAGCAGGUCCGUACUACGCAUUCUUUGCACUUUGUGGCUGAAAAGAAUGGAUUCGGGUCUAGAGCCUUAUUUGCCCGGAAGAUCCUUUCUCGUGUAAUUACAGCUUUAGUAGUCCAUCCUUAUUUUUACUAGACUAGCGAUGCAAGUUUACGUGUGCCGAUUGUAACGGGCGCUGGGUUCGAUUUUCUCGAAGAAAAUUAAUAAAUUAGAAUUUUUAAAACCGUAAAAUAUGUCGAGGUUCUAAAGUGCCUUUCCAAACAAAUUUUGGUCAUGUUAAUGUAAAGAAUUUAUCUGGAUUAUUGUAGGUCUCCAUUUUACGUCGCAAUCUGCCAUUUUUGUAGAUUUUGACUAGAGGGAAAAUAAUUGGGGACGAUUAAAAAAUGAAUUAAUUAAGCUCUGAGCGUCACAGCUACCAGAAGCAGCUGACUUUUUGGUAUUAGUUAAAAGCAAAGAAAGUGCUUUCGGAAAUCGUUGAAAAAUUUCCAUUAGAAGAAGUGAAAAAUUCCAAAGAAAAUUAAUCAGAUAAACUUUGUAGUGGCAACUUAUUGAAGUCGUGGGGUCCACAAUCCCAAUAUAAUUAUUCGCGAUACUGUAGAAAUUCGGGGCGUCUUAACCAAAUAUCAAAAAUGUAGCCAAUGAUAGGUUUAUGAAAUUUAAUUGACACCAAAGAAUUAACAUUACAUUGAAUAUACAAAAGGCGUGGACUGUUCAGUCGUUAAAAACCGAAUCUGUGUAUUUUUCGGGAAGCUUCACGUUUCACCACUCCAUUUAUGGUUUCUCAGAUGCAGCUCUAGGAGGAACGGCUACAACUCGGUCCAGCUUCCAAUGUAGCGGCGGCUGGUUAUCUUCUUUCAGGAGCACCAAUGUUCCAUUUCUGAGGUCGGACGUAGGCGACCACUAUACAGAAGUUGUGUGUUGCUGCAUCUCUUCAUAUUCCUUACUCAAUCUCUUCCACAGGCGUUGAAGUUGUUGAAGCAGCCGAAAAAUUGGUAUGCUGGUGACAUUUGGAUCUGUCAGUGAAUUCAGUGGUAUUCCAAUCAGAAUGUGCGCCGGGCUGCCGACGUGAGGGGUCGCUUGAUAAGGGGGAAAACGGUUGAGAGGACAAUAGGGUGAGCCUUAUCAAAUUGAUAAUUCGAUUUCCGAAGUCUGCCAUCAGCACGUAGGACACCGUCUGAAUUCAGAAAGGGGUUUAGACUUAUUAUAGAAGGUUUAUAUCUUCUUCACCAAAGAAGAUUUUAUCAGGCAUAAGAGAGCUGUGCGAAUUUCAAGGGCGAUCAGUGGCCCAGCGAUACGACUUUCAAAAAUUAGACAACUCUUCCAACGGAGACGUAUUGGAGCAUCUGUCGCUUAUAUUAAAGUAUGUGGUAUGCGCUGAUAGAGGCAUCACAAAACCCAUGCAGCUGAAUGUUAACUAGAUAUGGCGUGUCUGGAUAUUUUGGAGGUUACUGAGCUGUGUUAAUUAGCUCUUAUAAGAAGAGGAUCACUUCACUAAGAGCGGCUGUGGUAUCGGAUCAUCCCACCAUAAUUUCUCCAGGCAAAAUUGUGCACUGGUUGAGCUCAAGUGGGUCACAAACUUGACCAAAUUGGGUAAGAAUAAUGCGUUUUGUUAUCCUUCUUGUGGGAACUGGUGGAAUGGUAAAGGUAAAACUAUCAGUAUGAAAACUCCAAAUUGGGCCUAGUGUGGUGGUGUGGUCAUGAGAUCCCACCUCCACAAAAUCUGGAUGAAUGUCCUCCUCGGGCACGUGAGCUGAAAAUCCACUUACGAAUCUGAACAGCCUUUACGAAGGGUACCUGAGACGUUUGAUGCGAGUUCUUGGGCUUGCAAGAAAUCAUCGGCCCCAAUUAGGAGGCCAUCGACAUAGAAGUCGGACUGCUUGACGUUGUGGAAUUGAAUUUUUCGACGUCUGUUCCUAGUUGACAUAGACAUCGGAUGGUGAAAAAUUAAGCAGACCACGUCCCACAUAUCAAAGGAAGCGGAAAUGCCAAAGUUGACCCAACCAUUUAACCAUCAUUGACAGACCGGCCCGACGUAGUCGCUUAACUCGACCUUUGGUGGCAAGGCUUGACUCACUUCAUCACUCCAUUAUAUGGAACUGCCGUUAAAAAUGCGACUGAAGAUUUCGAUAUUCCUUCAUAAAUGCAGCAUAGCGCUCCAACAUGAUGAUGAAUCCCAAAGGGUAUCGGCAGAGGCCUUUAAAGGUAAGUCGACAAUAAAUCUUCCGUUUUCAUCUCGUGAGGCGGUUUUUAUAAAGUGGGUCUCUUCAGUGGGGUGUACUUUUUCAGAGGUUUCAGAGGGUAACUUUCUAAUUCCCAGAAUUUGGAUAAUUGCUCAGGAGUUCAAUAGAGUCAAAUGGCCGAGCAGAUAUUACCCACCUCAAUAUUGGGGUAUUGAAACAAAUCCCUGAACCACACACAAGGUUAUCAAAAUAAAAGGUUCUUUUUCGAUUUUACCAUCUGCAGUUGCCAUAUAAUUAAAAAGUAGCUAUUCGAUGCUCUAGAUUCCAAUUAUUUAUUUACUAGAAGAACCAUUUUUGCAUAAUAAAACUUAGUUAAUGCAAUUAUAAAGAAUGAAACCAUUUGAUUGUUUUGUAUAAUAAAUGUCACCUGUAUAUUUACCAACUUAUUUGAAUUUGGACUGGAUAUAAGAAUUAGAUUUUUAUGCCAUAGAGUUUAAUUCACAAUUUCAAUAAAUCUGACAAAUUCAUAGGUCCAUUAGUUACCAAAUUUAUGUGUAUUUGUCAAAUUUGAGGAUUUAGAUCUUUGUAAUAGACCAUACACGAUCAGAUACUUACCUUAUUUUCUUAAAAAGUCGCUGGACUCUCUUUUCAAUCAAAGGUGCUAAGGAUGAAAAUCAUCCCGUCAUAGUAGCAGCAGAGGACUAAUAUACAACAAACAGAUUUGAAAUUUAGGCAUCCAGGCGUGUUUUUACAUUCAUCUUCUAGAAAAUAAACCUGCGGCAAUGUGUAUUUAUUGAACAUAAAUAGAUGAAAUGUGUAUUAAGUUUAAAUGUAUCUAAUCGUAGAAAAACACUGCUAUGGAGUAAUUUCACUCUUAAUAAUUUAUUGCAAUUUGCAGAUAUAAUGUUGUUUAAUCAUAAAGUAGGUACACCAUUUAAAUGCAGUUGUACCUACGUAUACUUGGUUCGUGUGAAACCCCUUUUAUGUUUCCCGAUGGAAAGGGUACGUUUCAAUUGGAAUUUUGGAAAGGAGUGGAGGGAGUCGACGAUUUUUUGACAAUGGGGGUGUACGCCAUCUUAGUGAUCGGGAUUCUGUCCAAGAUGUACCACUGGCCAACCCCACCUUGGAACGAAAUACAUGGAUACCCACCUCUAAGUAUUGCUGCACUUCGACCGCCAACAAUUUCCUGGGGAUGGAAAGGUCGAUCAUCGAAUAAUCUCAAUGCUGUCCUAGGGGUUCCUAAUUUAAAAUGAAGCUGGCUAACACCUCGUUCACUUCCGUUGCUUCUCGUGGAUUUUUUGGGCCAAUUCAUUUUGAUUGCCAACGAUUUUCUGAAGAUGGAGCCAGCGGAUAAUCGCUAUCCAAGAUUUUCGAUUUGCCAUGGGAAAGUUCAUCACGUUUUCACAUGCGAAAUUGACGACGCUUUGGAACGGAAUACACGGUUCUGUUGGUAUUGUGGACGUGAUCGCAAUGCUGUCCGAGAUGUGCCACUUUCCAGUCGUUAGAAGAUGUGGUACCCAGUUCGGCGGAUUCAUAUGUAGCUCCAAAUUCAAAAUGGAAUUGGCCCAACAACGCUUUUAACUACUCAAGAUCAAACUGAUGUAACUGGGCGGAAAGCCAGAGUUUGAGUAUUAUCGACUACAACCAAAUGACCCUAUGGCCCUGUUAGGCCGAAUAAAUACAGUUAUGACGAAUCACCCUCGUGGAAGGCUACAGCGAACGGUGCAGUAAGGGAACCGCGUUUCCAUUUCCAUUUGCAGAAAUCUGGAAAAUACAAGUCGAUCAGAAAUGUUGGAAAACGCCUAAGUUUGUUUGUCAAUGGUGCUAAAAGCACUAGCCAUCCUGCAAGAUUGGUGGUAUCAGGUUGAGGAGAUGGUCGGGGUCAACGGUCAAAACCCGAGAUCCCAGAGAUCUCAAAAAGUUUCAAUAAAAUCCAAUACAAAAUUAAUUAGAAUUUUACAAUAAAAUUAUUUGUUUUUUUGAAUUUUAUUUAAAUAAUUGAAGUAAAUUUUUUGAUUCAAACAUUUCUUGAAACUUUUGAUUCAAAAAGCUU